GCCUUAAGAAAAUUAUCUAGAUUAAUUAGUUCAUAAAAGUUAGAAUCAUAGAUAUCACAAAUGAAUUACAAAGGAAAUAAAUAAAUAAAUGGAAGUUUGGAUUGGGCUUUUGGCCCAUUUUGAUCUGUCCAGACUUGGGCUGUAUUUUUUAUGGACUGUGGGUCCAUUUCCAAGAUGUAUAUCACAUGUAUACCAGCCCCAAUUUUCUUCACGUUUUACUGUAUAUCACUGCAUAAACAGUGUCUAUCAGCGUGAAAACCUGCUUAUUUCCCCUCUAUUUUUUAUUCUGCACCGUGUAGUAGUGUGCAGCUGCCACUUCCAAUGUAUACCAGCCAUAUAUAUAAUGGUAUACCAGUGCAAAAAUUAGUCUUUUUAAGACUUUGCCUUGAGGUUUGACUCGAUGUUGGGUCGGACCCAACGAAAUGCAAGAAGUGGGAAUACGAGGGCCUCGACGGGGGAGUUCAUGCAUAGAAAGUAAAUAAAAGGAUAAGGGUUAGUAUCCAUGCAAGUACACAAUAAAGAUGAGAAUUAAUUGAAAGAAAGAAAACGAAAUUAAUGCACCUUUGUUCACCAUGAGAUGCAAAGUCAUGGUUCUAACAAAAUCAAGUCUAUAACAAACUUGCUAUCACGAGAUGAAACUAAAAAAGAAGUUCCCAAAUCGAUAAUCUAGACAAAUAGCUAUGUAUUCCCAAAGAAAUACAAGUCUUCUAUAGACAAAGCCAUUCUCCUUUUCCGUCUAAUAAAAUUCCGAUGACAAAUAUGGAACAUUUUAAAACCAGACACAAGCUUACAAAAGCUAGUUUUCAGAGAGCCUUCUAAAUAGGAAGCAUUGUGACAAGGAACAAGGAUGAAGAUGUUGAUCCUAUCUUGAAAAUAAUUCAAUAGAUAUAUUGAGGAUAAAACAAGUCUAUGGCCUUAACAUUAAUGAAAAAAAAAUUGCCAAGCUCAAGCAAAAUGAACUCAAAAACCUCACGUCCAUGAAUAAGACAAUCUAUAAAUUUAUGUUAACUGAUUCGUUUUCAAAAGCUUAC
rnacentral:lncRNA from 1 species